UCUUUACCUUAAAAUUUAUAUUUAAACUAAAGUAGUAUAGACAUAAUUUUAUUUAUUAAGAGUAAUCUAUGUUUGAAAUUUUAAAGACUUGGCGGUGUUACAAAUCCUUCCAGGGGAGCUUGUUUAUUAAAUUGAUAAUCCUCAUUUUAUACUUACUUUUUUUUGAAUUGUUUAACAGUUUGUAUAUUGCUGUCGUCAGUUUAUUUUGUAAAAUUUUAAAAACAUAAUAAUUAAUAGUUGUGAUGAUAAGUCAAAAUGCAGCUUAUAAAAAAGGUUUAUUAAAUGAGCUACAAUUUAUAAUUUUUGAGUGCGGAUAUAGACUAUGUAAUUAGUUUUUGAAGUUGGACUUGGUAGUAAUAAAUAAAAUAGUGUGUUAUUAUGAAUUAGGUUUUGUAAUGCG
rnacentral:rRNA from 1 species